rnacentral:misc_RNA from 1 species
AUCUUCCACAUCUCCUUUCCAUGGUUUUAUUUCUACACAGUUCUCUGGUUGAAGGCUACUUUCUAAUGCAUUACCACUAACAUAUAUAAUCCCUAUUCAACAUGGAAAGAUCAUAUUUAGUUGCUCCCCUUGAUAGCCUAUACCGGAUACACUGCUUUGAAUCCAACUAUCGACAAUAGGAUUGACAUACUGCAAAAUCACUGGCCAAAAUUUUAACUGUCAUUGCAGAGGAGUAUAACAAAGCUUGAAAUUUAUCCAAACCAGAUGCACUAUCACCAACAGUAUAGUUUGCAGAUGUACGCAAAGCCUUGGUCCUCUCCUCAACUUCGUUCAAUGAAUAUGCGUAGGUAGCAUAACCAGCAGUAGCCGC